rnacentral:rRNA from 1 species
GUAAUCUGCCCCAGGCUCUGGGAUAGCCACCGGAAACGGUGAUUAAUACCGGAUACGACAACUUCCUGCAUGGGAUGGUUGUGGAAAGUUUUUCGGCCUGGGAUGUGCUCGCGGCCUAUCAGCUUGUUGGUGAGGUAAUGGCUCACCAAGGCUUCGACGGGUAGCCGGCCUGAGAGGGUGACCGGCCACACUGGGACUGAGACACGGCCCAGACUCCUACGGGAGGCAGCAGUGGGGAAUAUUGGACAAUGGGCGGAAGCCUGAUCCAGCAACGCCGCGUGAGGGAUGACGGCCUUCGGGUUGUAAACCUCUUUCAGCACAGACGAAGCGCAAGUGACGGUAUGUGCAGAAGAAGGACCGGCCAACUACGUGCCAGCAGCCGCGGUAAUACGUAGGGUCCGAGCGUUGUCCGGAAUUAUUGGGCGUAAAGGGCUCGUAGGCGGUCUGUCGCGUCGGGAGUGAAAACCAGGUGCUUAACACCUGGCCUGCUUUCGAUACGGGCAGACUAGAGGUACUCAGGGGAGAAUGGAAUUCCUGGUGUAGCGGUGAAAUGCGCAGAUAUCAGGAGGAACACCGGUGGCGAAGGCGGUUCUCUGGGAGUAUCCUGACGCUGAGGAGCGAAAGUGUGGGGAGCGAACAG